rnacentral:rRNA from 1 species
GACGAACGCUGGCGGCGUGCUUAACACAUGCAAGUCGAACGAUGAAGCUGGAGCUUGCUCUGGUGGAUUAGUGGCGAACGGGAGAGUAACACGUGAGUAACCUGCCCUGAACUCUGGGAUAAGCGUUGGAAACGACGUCUAAUACUGGAUAGGACCUUGGAUCGCAUGAUCUGGGGUGGAAAGUUUUUCGGUUUGGGAUGGACUCGCGCCCUAUCAGCUUGUUGGGGAGGUAAUGGCUCACUAAGGCGUCGGCGGGUAGCCGGCCUAAGAGGGAGACCGGCCACAAGGUGACUAAGACACGGCCCAGACUCCGACGAGAACGAGCAGUGGGGAAGAUUGCACAAUGUGCGCAAGCCUGAUGCAGCAGCGCCGCGUGCGGGAUGGCGGCCGUCGGGUUGUACACCGCUGUAAGUAGGGAAAAAGGGCGUCGGCUUGACGGUACCUGCAGAAAAAGGACCGGCUAACUACGUGCCAGCCGCCGCCGGAAAAC